UACGUAGGGGGCAAGCGUUGUCCGGAUUUAUUGGGCGUAAGGAGCGUGUAGGCGGCCAGACAGGUCAGCUGUGAAAACUCGAGGCUCAACCUCGAGACGUCGGUUGAAACCGUCUGGCUAGAGUCCGGAAGAGGAGAGUGGAAUUCCCGGUGUAGCGGUGAAAUGCGCAGAUAUCGGGAAGAACACCCGUGGCGAAGGCGGCUCUCUGGGACGGUACUGACGCUGAGACGCGAAAGCGUGGGGAGCGAACAGG
rnacentral:rRNA from 1 species